AACGGCGUUAUUUUGGGCCAUCCUUCGUUUUUUUCUGAUUUUAAUUUAAUUCAAAAAGGCCCAAUAUCGAAAAAACGCUUCUUAUUUUGGGACGUUUUUCGUCCAUCGACUUUGCCACGUGUUCUAUUCUGAUUGGGUGUAGAAUUUCUCUAAGGUUAAAAGAAAAAAAUUUCGAGAGACAAAAUUUCUUCCUUCUUUCUUUUCUCUCGACGGCGACGACAAACGCGAUACACAUCCUCGACGAUUUCACAAAGCCGUUCCGCACUUAACCCUAAAUUUGUUCAUCAUUGAUCGAUUCUACUGCAAAAAGUUUGCUAAACCUGGCGCCAUCAUUGUCCGUCAACGUGGCACUAAGAAUCAAAUCUACAAACUUUUCCUCCAUCUGCCACUCAGGGCAAGAUCUCUGUGUAUGUGAAUACUUUUCGAGUUGUAGUUGGUUAAGGAAUUUGGUUUCUUCAGUAUUGGAUUUUGCACUUUUGGUGUAUAUGAGCUUGUAGAUUUGUAUUACUGCUUCUUUGAUACUGUAUGAGUUUGGUACAGCGUUUCUAAGGAAAUUUCAAGGUUUUUAUGAAGAUUUUGUAUUACUGCUUCUUAGGGAUUUACUUGUUCAUUUGUAGAUGAAGGAUUUUUGUGUAUCUUUAUGGUCCUUAAUUCCGGUUUUAUUUUUGUAGGUUUGAUAAUAUCACUUUUGUAAGAAGCAAGGAAUCUGCUAGCAAGCAGAAUUCUACUCAGGCUACUGCGGGAUUGGUUGAAGCGAUAGUGUUUGAAGGGAAGCAGCAAGAUAGAGUUGGUGGUUCUUUUUUCAAAACUGAGGACAUGUGCUGUACGCCAAAACUUGCAGAUGCUGGUUCCUGCAAUCUUGGAGAAGUUAUGAGAAGUAAAGAUGUCUCCGGAAGCUAUGAUCAUUAAGAAGACUGGAUGGUACACUGUUUACUUCAUGACAUGUGAUCCCGAACUGGAUGGCACCACAAUCAGAGGAAGAACAGUUUGGAAGAACAGAGGUGGCUAUUUACAGGGAGAGAAGGCUCCUUUGAUGAAGUUGUACGCCUUCAUGCUAUUGGCUUAUGCGAUCCUUGGCCUAGUUUGGUUUCCAAAAGUUGCUCCGUAUUGGAAGGAUGGAAUCCAGUUGCACGGUUAUAUUAGCUUUGUAAUUGCAUUUUCCAUCAGUGAAUUGACCUUCCUGUUCUAUGAAUUUGCCUAUCUCGACUCAGCUGGUACAUGUCUUAAGGAGGUUUACUGACC